rnacentral:rRNA from 1 species
GUGGGGAAUCUUAGACAAUGGGGGCAACCCUGAUCUAGCCAUGCCGCGUGAGUGAUGAAGGCCUUAGGGUUGUAAAGCUCUUUCAGUGGGGAAGAUAAUGACGGUACCCACAGAAGAAGCCCCGGCUAACUCCGUGCCAGCAGCCGCGGUAAUAUGGAGGGGGCUAGCGUUGUUCGGAAUUACUGGGCGUAAAGCGCACGUAGGCGGAUCGGAAAGUUGGGGGUGAAAUCCCAGGGCUCAACCCUGGAACUGCCUUCAAAACUAUCGGUCUGGAGUCCGAGAGAGGUGAGUGGAAUUCCGAGUGUAGAGGUGAAAUUCGUAGAUAUUCGGAGGAACACCAGUGGCGAAGGCGGCUCACUGGCUCGGUACUGACGCUGAGGUGCGAAAGCGUGGGGAGCAAACAGGAUUAGAUACCCCAGUAGUCC